AUUGAACGCUGGCGGCAGGCCUAACACAUGCAAGUCGAGCGAGCGGCGGCAGGGUGAGUAAUGUCUGGGAAACUGCCUGAUGGAGGGGGAGAACUACUGGAAACGGUAGCUAAUACCGCAUACCAUCAGAUGUGCCCAGAUGGGAUUAGCUAGUAGGUGGGGUAAUGGAUCACCUAGGCGACGCUCCCUAGCGGGUCUGAGAGGAUGACCAGCCACACUGGGACUGAGACACGGUCCAUACUCCUACGGGAGGCAGCAGGGGGGAAUAUUGCACAAUGGGCGCAAGCCUGAUGCAGCCAUGCCGCGUGUGGGAAGAAGGCCUUCGGGUUGUAAAGCACUUUCAGCGGGGAGGCGUUACCCGCAGAAGAAGCACCGGCUAACUCCGUGCCAGCAGCCGCGGUAAUAC
rnacentral:rRNA from 1 species